ensembl:lncRNA
GUACUGCGGAGACCCAGGCUCCCGGGCUGUUCCCUGGGUGACCACCCUAGGUGGUUUGCUGGGGAGAAAGGAGUUGCGCUGUUGGAGGGACCUAAGUUGAAAGUCAAGGGAGCCUUACUUUCACUCUGCUUUCGAUAUACGCUGAGCCCUCAGCAGAGGAUGUAUCAAAACUCCUGGACUAUCCCUGGUAGCCAAGGGCAGUUCCAAAGCCCAGCCUGAGCACCCGGUGGUUAGCAGAACAUUCAGUCCCUUGGUACGCUGUACAGGGCGGUGCAAUAAAUGCACGUGUCUGCCAUGGACAAGGCCCCUGGAUUAGGUCUAAAGGCCACUGGGCUCCCCGACUCCCAUUCCUGAAGUGAUUGAGGAACUGCAGCUUGAAGCCUGGGAGAAUUUGACCAAGACUUCAGUAGCCACGGGUUCCAGGAAGGCUGGUUCUUACGUUGAAGAGGACAGCAGUGGGUUGUAAUGAAUUCCUCCAAAGCACAGAGAAAGAAAAAAAUGAAACUGAAAAAAAAAAACAUUCGGACUUCCCAAUUUGUUUAUUUUUUUCCUUCCUAGACCCUGGGAAUGAAACCUACCCAUUUCAAGGACACCUCUGUCACUGAGCCUAGUGGCAGCCAGGUGUCACCUGCAAGCUUUGGAUUUUCUUCAUCUAUUUCCUGGCUUCCCCUUCUAGGCUUUAUUGGGAAGUUGGACCUGAGAAUAUCACUUAUCCUACCGCUAGCACUUACUCAACAUGGCGUCAGAAGGGACUUUUCCCUCCUGACCUCACCUUCUCCUCCUCCCAAUGGAGCAAAGGAAGAUGGCAUCAAGAAAACUGUUCAAGGAAUGAGUUUUCCAUCCACAGACAGAGGACACUGCAGCAGGUGUGGGAAACACUUGCAGUUUGGGGAAAUUACUGUUCAUAGGUAAAAGGCAAAAUAUGAGAAAAAGCCAGAGGAACCUCAGAGUUAGUGAGAACGAGGAGUUCUGAGUGGGGGAGAAAAAGUGACUCAGCAAAACCGAAGAAACAUCUGGCAGGGUUAGUCAUGGCGAAAUUGGCCGUGGCCAUGAAGAAUUUUUGUGAAAAUAAUUAUGUACUACCCAACAGUUUACGUUCUGUCCAAAAUUAGGUGGUAACCUGUACAACGAAAAUCUUUCCUCCUAACCAUUCAAAAUGCUUCUGCUUGCCAGUUUGGUCAGUAACUCAGUUAGUUAUCAGGCAGCACCAAGAUUCUGAAAAGCACGGUUUUAUCUGCUUGCUCAUUUGCUGUUUAGUUUGUGUCGAGACGGGUUCUCGCUCUACAUCCCCGGCUCGCCUGAGACUAGUGUAGACUAGGCUGGCGUCCAGCUCACAGAGCUCUACCUGCCUUUACCUCCCGAGUGCUGGGAUUAACGCCUUUGCCACCCCACCUGUCUUUAGAAAAAACCCCCACGAUUUUAGAGAAUAAUCUUCCAAUCUGUGUCUCAGGGUUUUUAAUUCCAAGUCUCGGGGUUUUUAGCACACAAGUGCCCGUGCACACUCAAGGCUUAGUAGACUUCCUGAGAAGCACACUUCCGUAGCGAACAACACUAACCAUUUCAUUCUGUACAUGCAAUGGCAACAAAUAAGUCACAGACGUCAUAGUUGUAAUCUUAGCAACAAAAUCCACCUUUAGAAAAAAAACCUUUAGCGAGUGUUUUUAUUUCUACAACACCAUGUGG